GAGAGAGAGAGAGAGAGAGAGAGAGAGAGAGAUGGAGAGUCCAGGGGUGAAGAACCUUGGGAGACACAUACCACCUUCCCCCCUUUCCUUUAUUUUCCAAAACCAGCAACUUGUCCACUUCAUUUUGAUUUUGGUAUGCACUGAAUCCACCCCCUUUCAUUCUUAUUUCAAAAACUCAGACUUACAAAAACAACAUUCCCCCAUUUUCCAUCUUUCCAAACAGAAACCAAAGUUUUCAUCUUUUCUUUAUAAAAAUUCCACAGUCUAAACCAUUAAUAUUUCCUUUGGUGUUGAUGGGUUCUUCCCCUUUUCUCAAUGGUUGUUGAGUGGAACAGCUCAAGAGAAAAAUAUCUGAUUUGCUAAUUUAUUUCUCUUGGUUGGAAAGUGAUUGAGAUAUGCAAAGAAUAUAUCAGCUGCAUCUAUAUCCUCUUUCUUAUUAUCUAUCUGGUAAAUCUUCUUCUUCAUCUCAGUCCCAACACCACCAGAGGCUACAACAUCACAGUUGGAUCAUUGGUGAUGAUGUUUCAUGGUUCUGAAGUUCUAUAAAGCUUGCUUCUUUUUCCCCACAAACUGAGAGAGAGAGAGAGAGAGAGAGAGAGAGAGAGAGAGAGAGAGAGAGAGAGAGAAUUUGAGAUCCAUUAAUCAUCAAGUCCUGAAAAAAGCUUCAAACUUUUGGGUAAAGUUGAGCAGAGAAUUCGGGGAUCUUGUUCUUGUUCUGUUCAUUCCACAUUUGAACCCUAGAUCCUUCUGAUUGAGUUCAAAAUCCAGUUUAUUCAGAUUCAAGUCAAAUCUCCCAAGAUUUGAACACAAUAAUUUAGCAGCAUUUCAGCUUCUGGGUUUUAAUCUUUCAUCAAUCUUCUUGUUAAAGAUCAAACCUUCCAAGCCAGCAAGUCUUGAGUUUUGAGCUUCCAGUCACCACCAUUGUCAAAAUCUUGGUCAACUCCCCUCUGGGUUUUGCCAUUUGAAUCGGUCUGCAGCUGGAAUCUGAAUCCUGCUGUUGGGUUCUUCUAAAGAAGAAAACUUGGCAGGAGGGAACCAUUUUUAAAUGAGAGCUAUUGAAGUUUCUGGAUCAAAUCUGAGGCUACCAAAACCAAUAAUCAAUCUUGAAGAUCAUUGUUCAAAAAAUCUUACAAUGGAUCCAAGAAAAAGAAAACCAGCUCUGAAUCACAACGUUCCUCCGUUAGAGAAAAAGAAAAUAGAGUUCUACAACAGAUCAUUCUCACAAGGAAGCUCAAGAAAAUUAUUACCAGCAAACUAUUUCAGCUUGGAGUCAUUGCUUUUACUUUCAUGUUUAACAGCUUCACUGCUGAUUCUUCCACUGAUUCUGCCGCCAUUGCCGCCUCCGCCAUUCCUGCUUCUGCUGGUUCCUAUUGGGAUCUUGGCUCUGCUCAUGGUGUUGGCUUUCAUGCCUGGUAAUAUCAGGGAUGUCACCUAUACGUAUAUGUAAAUGGUGUACGGAGAGGAAGAACACAGAGAGAACAAAAAAAAAAAAGAUAUGUUCAUUUCUUUCUUUUUCAUUUAUCAUACAAUUUUGCAAUUGUCUUUAUAUGUUGGAUUAAGAAAUUUAGAAGCAAAAAGGAAAAAGAUUACUUCAA